rnacentral:rRNA from 1 species
AGAGACCGGCGCACGGGUGCGUAACGCGUAUGCAAUCUACCUUUCGCAGAGGGAUAGCCCAGAGAAAUUUGGAUUAAUACCUCAUAGUAUAGCAGUUUCGCAUGAAACCACUAUUAAAGUCACAACGGUGAAAGAUGAGCAUGCGUCCCAUUAGUUAGUUAAUAAGGUAACGGCUUACCAAGACUACGAUGGGUAGGGGUCCUGAGAGGGAGAUCCCCCACACUGGUACUGAGACACGGACCAGACUCCUACGGGAGGCAGCAGUGAGGAAUAUUGGACAAUGGGCGCAAGCCUGAUCCAGCCAUGCCGCGUGCAGGAUGACGGUCCUAUGGAUUGUAAACUGCUUUUAUACGAGAAGAAACAACUCUACGUGUAGAGUCUUGACGGUAUCGUAAGAAUAAGGAUCGGCUAACUCCGUGCCAGCAGCCGCGGUAAUACGGAGGAUCCAAGCGUUAUCCGGAAUCAUUGGGUUUAAAGGGUCCGUAGGCGGUCAGAUAAGUCAGUGGUGAAAGCCCAUCGCUCAACGGUGGA